UACGUAGGGUGCGAGCGUUAAUCGGAAUUACUGGGCGUAAAGCGUGCGCAGGCGGUUUUGUAAGUCAGAUGUGAAAUCCCCGGGCUCAACCUGGGAAUGGCAUUUGGGACUGCAAGGCUGGAGUGCGGCAGAGGAGACUGGAAUUCCUGGUGUAGCAGUGAAAUGCGUAGAUAUCAGGAGGAAUACCGAUGGCGAAGGCAGGUCGCUGGGCUGACACUGACGCUCAUGCACGAAAGCGUGGGGAGCAAACAGG
rnacentral:rRNA from 1 species